GUGUUUAUCGUACCUUGUUGCUUCGGCGGGCCCGCCGCAAGGCCGCCGGGGGGCAUCUGCCCUCUGGCCCGCGCCCGCCGAAGACACCAUUGAACGCUGUCUGAAGAUUGCAGUCUGAGCAAUUAGUUAAAUAACUUAAAACUUUCAACAACGGAUCUCUUGGUUCCGGCAUCGAUGAAGAACGCAGCGAAAUGCGAUACGUAAUGUGAAUUGCAGAAUUCAGUGAAUCAUCGAGUCUUUGAACGCACAUUGCGCCCCCUGGUAUUCCGGGGGGCAUGCCUGUCCGAGCGUCAUUGCUGCCCUCAAGCACGGCUUGUGUGUUGGGCUCCGUCCUCCUCCCGGGGGACGGGCCCGAAAGGCAGCGGCGGCACCGCGUCCGGUCCUCGAGCGUAUGGGGCUUCGUCACCCGCUCUGUAGGCCCGGCCGGCGCUUGCCGACACAUCAAUCUUUUUUCCAGGUUGACCUCGGAUCAGGUAGGGAUACCCGCUGAACUUAAGCAUAUCAA
rnacentral:rRNA from 1 species